rnacentral:rRNA from 1 species
GACGAACGCUGGCGGCGUGCCUAACACAUGCAAGUCGAGCGAGUGAAUCUCCUUCGGGAGUGAAGCUAGCGGCGGACGGGUGAGUAACACGUGGGCAACCUGCCUCAUAGAGGGGAAUAGCCUUUCGAAAGGAAGAUUAAUACCGCAUAAGAUUGUAGCUUCGCAUGAAGUAGCAAUUAAAGGAGCAAUCCGCUAUGAGAUGGGCCCGCGGCGCAUUAGCUAGUUGGUGAGGUAACGGCUCACCCAGGCGACGAUGCGUAGCCGACCUGAGAGGGUGAGCGGCCGCAUUGGGACUGGUACACGGCCCAGACUCCUACGGGAGGCAGCAGUGGGGAAUAUUGCACAAUGGGGGAAACCCUGAUGCAGCAACGCCGCGUGAGUGAUGACGGCCUUCGGGUUGUAAAGCUCUGUCUUCAGGGACGAUAAUGACGGUACCUGAGGAGGAAGCCACGGCUAACUACGUGCCAGCCGCCGCGGUAA